rnacentral:ncRNA from 2 species
UACUCUGACCGCGUUCUUGGUGCCUGCCGCCCUCUCGCGGGCUGGGUAGGUUAAAAGGGAAGUCUGGUAAGAAAUCCAGCGCUGCCCCCGCAACGGUAAUCAGCCCCUGCUGUAAGCCCGAUACCUGCCGGAACAGCAACCGAUGG